GACAGAGGGUGCAAACGUUGCUCGGAAUCACUGGGCGUAAAGGGCGUGUAGGCGGGUAGGAAAGUCGGGCGUGAAAUCCCUGGGCUCAACCCAGGAACUGCACUCGAAACUUCUUUUCUUGAGUGCCGGAGAGGAAAGCGGAAUUCCUGGUGUAGAGGUGAAAUUCGUAGAUAUUAGGAAGAACACCAGUGGCGAAGGCGGCUCACUGGUCCGGUACUGACGCUGAGGUGCGAAAGCGUGGGGAGCAAACAGG
rnacentral:rRNA from 1 species